rnacentral:rRNA from 1 species
AACGAACGCUGGCGGCAUGCCUAACACAUGCAAGUCGAACGAGACCUUCGGGUCUAGUGGCGUAUGGGUGUGUAACGCGUGGGAACCUGCCCUUAGGUUCGAAAUAACUCCCCGAAAGGGGUGCUAAUACCGGAUAGUGGCUUCGGCCCAAAGAUUUAUCGCCUUUGGAGGGUCCCGCGUUGGAUUAGCUAUUUGUUAGGCUAAAAGCUUACCAAGGCGACGAUGCAUAGCUGGUAUCAGAGGAUGAUCAGCCACACUGAGACUGAGACACGGCCGAGACUCCUACGGGAGGCAGCAGUGGGGAACAUGGGACAGUGGGCGAAAGCAUGAUCAUGUAAUGACGGGAGAGUGAUGAAAGCAUUAGAGUUCAAAAGCUCUAUUACCCGGGAUCAUAAUGACAGUACCGGGACAAUAAGCUCCGGCUAACUCCGUG